UUAGCUAGUUGGUGAGGUGACGGCUCACCAAGGCGAAGAUGGGUAGCAGGUGUGAGAGCACGACCUGCGUCACUGGGACUGAGACACUGCCCAGACACCUACGGGUGGCUGCAGUCGAGAAUCUUCGGCAAUGGGCGAAAGCCUGACCGAGCGACGCCGCGUGCGGGAUGAAGGCCUUCGGGUUGUAAACCGCUGUCGGAGGGGAUGAAAUGCCGAUGGGUACUCCCAACGGCUUGACUGAUCCUCGGAGGAAGGGUGGGCUAAGUUCGUGCCAGCAGCCGCGGUAAGACGUACCACCCAAACGUUAUUCGGAAUCACUGGGCUUAAAGAGUCCGUAGGCGGCUCGGUAAGUUGGAUGUGAAAUACCUCGGCUCAACCGAGGAACUGCAUUCAAAACUACCGAGCUUGAGAGAGACAGAGGUAAGCGGAACUGAUGGUGGAGCGGUGAAAUGCGUUGAUAUCAUCAGGAACACCGGUGGC
rnacentral:rRNA from 1 species